GGCGUUUCCAAAGAGUCGUGUUGCUUGAUAGUGCAGCACUAAGUGGGUGGUAAACUCCAUCUAAAACUAAAUAUAACCAUGAGACCGAUAGUAAACAAGUACCGUGAGGGAAAGUUGAAAAGAACUCUGAAUAGAGAGUUAAAUAGUACGUGAAACUGCUUAGAGGUUAAGCCCGAUGAACCUAAAUAUCCCAUUAUGGAAAACUCAUCGUUAUGAUUUUAAUAUUUUACAAAUAUUAUGAUAAUGGUGUGCAUUUUUUCUAUAAAGGACAUUGUAAUCUAUUAAUACAAAAAAAAAAAAUUUAUCAUAAGAUCAUUAUGCACAGGUUUAUUCGAAUUAAUUUUCUUGCAAUUUUAACAUAGAAUAAACGCUCUUGAUUUGAUAAAGUGUUAAUAGAUUUAUUAUGUAAUAUAGUGCUUAAAUAUAUAUAUAUAUUUUAUGAUAGUAUUAUUAUCAUUGAUUUUGAUGCUUAUCAUAUGCACUUAUAUGAUUAACAAUGCGAAAGAUUUAGGAUACCUUCGGGACCCGUCUUGAAACACGGACCAAGGAGUCUAACAUAUUUGCAAGUUAUUGGGAAUGUGAAAACUUAAUAGCAAAAUUAACAUGACUUUUACAAAUAAAUGGGAUUAGUUUUUGUAGCCUAUUUUUAUAUAAAAUAGACUUAUUAAUUCAAUC
rnacentral:rRNA from 1 species